AUGAUAGACGCACAGAUGCGAACCCGUGAGAAACAACCUCUGGUGGAGGAAGACACUUUGCUGGAAGAGGCUCUUACAGCCUGUGGUGGUGGCCAUCCUCGCAUCCAGUCACCAGCUGCAUCCAGGGACUGCCUGCUCCAGAAGAUCAUCAUCCAGUGGAGUUGUAAACGAGGCCCCCCAGCCUGCCUCGUGGAUAAAGAGCAGCUUAUUUCCUGACACUCUGAUCCAGGGCUUAGUGGCCCAGGCGAGCUGUAGAUGCCUCUCUUGGUUGUGCAUGUGACCAUUUGCCCACCUCAAGGACCAGGUCAUGGGGUUCUGGGCCUCAGCCUUCCUGCCGCACCUGCUCAAACCCCCAUGGGGCUGUGCCUCCAUCCAGCCCCUCACAGGGAGGCCCAGCCGUGUUCUCUGGGCUCCCAGUGAGCCCCCUCCUCUCCACUCAUCCCCAGAAUCCAUCCUUCAUUCCUCAGCCGAGCUACUGUAUGAGAUGCAGUGCCCACACGGGUGAGGCCCUGCACUCCAGAAGCAUCUUCCAGCCUUGGCACAGAACUGAUGGAAGGGCUGGAAGAAGGGCUGGGUUUUCAGCUCCUGGGACCUGUCUGAGAAAGACCUCACCUCACUCCUCCUUCCCCAGUACAUCAGACUAGCUAGGAGGCAUCAGGGAAGGGGCAGCCUCAUGUCCAGGUUUCAACCCCAAAGGCGAUGAUUAUCUUGACUCUGCCUUGGUGUUUCGCUCAGGAUCACAGCAGACUUCGGCUGUUUCUGGAAGGCAGGUGCCUGCUUAUGAGCAAGGUCGAUGGUAACAAACAUUUUUCAAAAUAUUGUGCAUUAAUUCAUUAAAGCUAAUGUUAAAUAUUUGCUGUUUUCAGAUGGGCUUCUGUGCUAAUUUUGCACAGUUGUAGCACUGUCUAUUUUAUCUCACAUUUCUGUGCCAAAAAAAUUCAUGUUUUUAAUACACAAUCUUGAUUAUGUUUCUAAAAUGAAGCUUCAGCUCUUGGGUCAGUAGGAAUGAGGGUGCGGCUUCCAGGGUCUCCCGACGCUGGACAGACCAACCCUGCCACAUCCCGAUCAGUCAUCUCUGCCAUUCCUCAUGUUAGCCAUUGCCGUCAUCUGGGCCUGAUUUGGGUACACUGAAUUCUGUCCUGGAGCACACCAUUCCAUUUCUAAAUCCCCACAACCAAGUGGAGUAUCCUUCCUUAUAACUAAUUUCGAGAGAGAACUGAAAAAGAAAUUUGGUUUCCUUAAAAGAUGAUGGAGCCUAUGAUAUGAACAAGCAGCCCUCUGGCAGAAGAUUCUAGAUUCACUCAUGGUUUGAGGCCCAGGGAUUUAGCUCUUACUGGUGCAUAAAUGCUUUCCUGUUCUAACUGGGACCCCGCUCACCCAGGCCAGCGCUUUCCUGAGAGUGUGCUCAGCUCUGCCGCCAGUCUCCGUGAACUGCAGAGGAAACGCCGCUCAUUCACCAUCAGCGUAGGACAGAAGGACACACAAUGGGGGAUCGAACAUUUGCACCCAGAGCAACUGAACGCUUCCUAAGUGACCCCAGAGACUGCAGAUUCCCGGGAGUGAAGGGGAUGGGGGUGGAGCUCAUUAGAAUUUUUAUUAGCCAGGAUUCCUCCUAAGAAGAAUGUCGGCCUCUCUUCAUCCCUGUCCUAGCUGCUGGGUAGAACGCCUACUCAUCUGACACCGACUUCUUAAGCGAGUCUUUUGAAUGGAGGAGCAAUGGUAACCCCACUGCGGGGGGCACCUGGCCUGGCCAGUUACCCAUGAUCGGGCCCCAGUGAGCCGAAUUUCGGGUAAGGGAGCCAUGAAUCUAGAGUCCGUUAUAGUCUGUGUGUACAUAAGGUCUAGAUGUCUCCGGAGAUGCCCUGAACCCUGUAAUGUUCUCUUAACCACCCUCUUAUGUUCAGGUUUACAUAAUAGGAUUUUUAAACAAAUGUGCUUAAUUUUUUAAGAUCUCUUGUAUUAAAAUUUUCUUUUGGAAUAAGCUGUGGAAAUUUUGUUACAACCUGGUUGAGAUAAACCUCUUUACAAUGACAAAAUAAAAAUGGUGACAUUUUAUAAAUUG